CUCUUCGAUAUUGUGAAGCAAUGUUUUGGUUUUUCAAUCUCUAAUCCAAGUAUAUCUGAUGGGAAGGAUGUUACAAACUCUCAGACGAGUAGGGGAUCAAAUUCGUAGAUAUUUUUUUAUAAUGCAUCUCAUCUAUCAAAGGCAAUAUCUGAAUCAGUCACAAUAACUGAAAGAUCGAUCUUAUUUAUAAUUGUUGUAUAAAGUUUAAUUUUAUCGAACUAUCAAAUAUAUCACAAUGUAUAUUAGUGCGGGCCACAUCGGGAUGAGUUUAAUCAAAUAAAUUAUAACAUGGGCAUCAUGUCAAUCAUCUUAUUUUCUUGCUAUAAAUGAAAUCAUGAAGACAAGCAUAAGAUGAAUGAAGUCCAAAAUAAAAUGAUUGGCAUGGUAUACAGCCAUGUAAUGCCC
rnacentral:lncRNA from 1 species